GUCUGUCUGUCAGUGUGUGUGUGUGUCUGUCUGUCUGUCUGUCUGUCUGUCUGUCUGUCUGUCUGUCUGUCUAUCUAUCUAUCUAUCUAUCUGUCUGUCUAUCUAUCUAGCUGUCUGUCUGUCAGUGUGUGUGUGUGUGUGUGUGUGUGUUUUUCCUUCUAUCUCCCCUCAGCCACUGUCCAUCCCUUCACUCAAGCCUUCCAUCACUUUUCCUCCUUUCUCUCUCCUUUAUAUAGAAUGAAUACUCCUCCACUCCUUGUCACUCCAUCAGCUGAGCAUUCCUCUGUUCCCCAUCCUUCUGUCUCCCUCCAGCCUCUCUCCUUUAUAGAGCUAAUGAUCCACUCUCUGCCCCUCCUCCUCCUCCCAUCUGCUGACCUUCCCUCUAGUCCAUCUUUCCUUCUUUCCUUCCUUCCUCUUUCCUUAAUAGAGGUAAUAAUUUUUCCUCUCCCUGGCCCAUAUCUCGACCUUACCUCCCCAUUCACAAGCUCCCCUUGCUUUCUUCUACUCAAGACUGACUUUAUCCAGUUUAACACACCUCCUUCAAUCUGUUACUUUUUAGCUUUGAUAAUAACUUGUUGUGUGGUACAGUAUGGAAUGCUUUUAUCAGUGUCCAGGCCCUUGUUUAAACACUGUCCACUUGUUUAACACUUAUCACCUGCAGUUCUGUGCAUCUCCCAGGCAGGAAUCCAGACUGCUGUACGAGUACACUGAAUAGAUUGCUGAGAUACCAAGACUGGCACAGACUCCCUGGUUAUCUCUGGCAUGCCCUCAUCCAGUUGAUGUGCGAACACCACUGCAGGGAACUCUGUCGGUGUGUCUGUUCCUUUCUUUAUCAUUUCCAGUGUUUCCUGCUCUUGUCAAUGCUGUUCCUGACACUGACACUUCCUGCACUGACACUGUUUAGUUGGGUUAGGUUUGGUUACAUACAUUCCAUUCAUUACCAUCCAUCAUUAUUCUCUCAUUUCUCAUUCAUUUAUCAUAAUUUUUCCAUCCACUUGUCACCAUCCUUCCAUUUCUCAUUAAUUUAUCACUUGUUAUCACCAUCCUUUCAUCUCUCAUUUACUAAUAAUUUUUAUUCCCAUGGCCUUGUUGACUGGCUCUCUCUCUCUCUCUCUCUCUCUCUCUCUCUCUCUCUCUCUCUCUCUCUCUCUCUCUCUCUCUCUCUCUCUC